rnacentral:rRNA from 1 species
GAUGGACGCUGGCGGCGUGCCUAAUACAUGCAAGUCGAGCGAACAGACGAGGAGCUUGCUCCUCUGACGUUAGCGGCGGACGGGUGAGUAACACGUGGAUAACCUACCUAUAAGACUGGGAUAACUUCGGGAAACCGGAGCUAAUACCGGAUAAUAUAUUGAACCGCAUGGUUCAAUAGUGAAAGACGGUUUUGCUGUCACUUAUAGAUGGAUCCGCGCCGCAUUAGCUGGUUGGUAAGGUAACGGCUUACCAAGGCAACGAUGCGUAGCCGACCUGAGAGGGUGAUCGGCCACACUGGAACUGAGACACGGUCCAGACUCCUACGGGAGGCAGCAGUAGGGAAUCUUCCGCAAUGGGCGAAAGCCUGACGGAGCAACGCCGCGUGAGUGAUGAAGGUCUUCGGAUCGUAAAACUCUGUUAUUAGGGAAGAACAAAUGUGUAAGUAACUAUGCACGUCUUGACGGUACCUAAUCAGAAAGCCACGGCUAACUACGUG